rnacentral:rRNA from 1 species
GACGAACGCUGGCGGCGUGCUUAACACAUGCAAGUCGAACGGAAAGGCCCUGCUUGCAGGGUACUCGAGUGGCGAACGGGUGAGUAACACGUGGGUGAUCUGCCCUGCACUUCGGGAUAAGCCUGGGAAACUGGGUCUAAUACCGGAUAGGAGCCAUUUUUAGUGUGAUGGUUGGAAAGUUUUUUCGGUGUAGGAUGAGCUCGCGGCCUAUCCGCUUGUUGGUGGGGUAAUGGCCUACCAAGGCGGCGACGGGUAGCCGGCCUGAGAGGGUGGACGGCCACAUUGGGACUGAGAUACGGCCCAGAUUCCUACGGGAGGCAGCAGUGGGGAAUAUUGCACAAUGGGCGCCAGCCUGAUGCAGCGACGCCGCGUGGGGGAUGACGGCCUUCGGGUUGUAAACUCCUUUCGCUAGGGACGAAGCUUUUUGUGACGGUACCUAGAGAAAAAGCACCGGCUAACUACGUG